UGGAUGAGCCCGCGGCCUAUCAGCUUGUUGGUGGGGUAAUGGCCUACCAAGGCUUCGACGGGUAGCCGGCCUGAGAGGGUGACCGGCCACACUGGGACUGAGACACGGCCCAGACUCCUACGGGAGGCAGCAGUGGGGAAUAUUGGACAAUGGGCGGAAGCCUGAUCCAGCAACGCCGCGUGAGGGAUGACGGCCUUCGGGUUGUAAACCUCUUUCAGCACAGACGAAGCGCAAGUGACGGUAUGUGCAGAAGAAGGACCGGCCAACUACGUGCCAGCAGCCGCGGUAAU
rnacentral:rRNA from 1 species